UGUCGAUACCUGYCCAAAACAGAACGACCCGCGAACCAAAGAUCACCACUCUCGGUGGGCCGGUUUCUUAGCCGAUUCCUUGCCCGCCGGAUCCGUGGUUUCGCGUAUCGGCAUGMUYGGGAGCUUUAUCUCGGUCUUGUCGUGCGCGUUGCUUCCGGAUAUCACAAAACCCCGGCACGAAAAGUGUCAAGGAACAUGCAAACGAACGGCUGGCAUUCGCCUCCCCGGAGACGGAGUGUGGGCGGAUGCUGUGCYGCGAACUGAAGUCUAAAACGACUCUCGGCAACGGAUAUCUCGGCUCUCGCAUCGAUGAAGAACGUAGCGAAAUGCGAUACUUGGUGUGAAUUGCAGAAUCCCGUGAACCAUCGAGUCUUUGAACGCAAGUUGCGCCCCAAGCCUUCUGGCCGAGGGCRCGUCUGCCUGGGUGUCACAAAUCGUCGUCCCUCACCAUCCUUUGCUGAUGCGGGACGGAAGCUGGUCUCCCGUGUGUUACCGCACGCGGUUGGCCUAAAUCCGAGCCAAGGACGCCUGGAGCGUACCGACAUGCGGUGGUGAACUUGAUCCAUUACAUUUUAUCGGUCGCYCUUGUCCGRAAGCUGUAGAUGACCCAAAGUCCAUAUAGCGACCCCAGGUCAGGCGGGAUUACCC
rnacentral:misc_RNA from 1 species